CCACCACCAUCUUGGGAGCUCUGGGAGCAAGGACCACCUGGUAACAAUAGGCCAAAUACUGUGCUGAUAAGUUAUUGCUCAAUGUUCAGACUCUUGCUUCAAGAUCAACUGAAGUGCUUUCUUGAAAGCCUGCCCUGAAUCCUCAUCUAUUGAUGGAGAUGGUGUCAUCUUGCCUUGAUUGUAUCCAGAAGCUUCAUCCCCAAGAUAAAGGAUGGACAUCUCUCCGAUGACCAGCUUCUUUUGCUCGACUCUAGAGAAGGUUGCUUUCUGCAUUCUGGCAACUGCCCUCUGUCUACAUGAUUAGACUCGUUGGUUGCAGUGCUUUCUGGAGUAAUGAAGGGAUCCAGUGCACAGGGUUUAACUUACUGGGCACAAUCUCUAAGCCAACUCUGCCUGAAUGGGUCCCCUGUUUUUUCUCUUCUGCUCUUGUUGAACCAUAUCUCUGUUCCUUGUGCUCCUGGGAAUUUCUUGCUCUGGUCAUGAAAAAAAUGGAAACUCUCUCAAGGAAUAACAAUCAGAGCUGUCUGGUUGACAAGGGACAUUAUGGUUGCAAGAAGACCCUGAAGCAAGGAUUCUACAUCAAAGAUUCAGGGGCAAUCUGAGUUUGCAUUUAAGAUCCUUCUGCCUAUAGCAGUAGCUUAUAUGUUAUGUUCAAUUGACGUAUAAGCACUGUGAAGAAAUAUUCUAUUACAACCUCUUAUGACAUUAGCAUUGUAUAUUUCAGAAUGUAAUUGUAGACAGAAAGUUGGUAUAUUUAAUUCAAAUUAUGAUUAUUCUUUAAAAACAAAACUUGAAAAUUCAGUUUAUCUACAUAAUUGGCUUAAGUAUUUGUUGCAUGCCUAUUCCAUACCAAGCAAUGAGCAAGGUGUUA
rnacentral:lncRNA from 1 species